rnacentral:rRNA from 1 species
UCCGGUGAAGUGUUCGGAUCGCGGCGACGUGGGCGGUUCGCUGCCGGCGACGUCGCGAGAAGUCCACUGAACCUUAUCAUUUAGAGGAAGGAGAAGUCGUAACAAGGUUUCCGUAGGUGAACCUGCGGAAGGAUCAUUGUCGAUGCCACACAAAAAGAGCGACCCGCGAACCGGUUUGAACAAAACUCUAAGAGGGGGAGGGCGAAGGCUCCGCCCGAGGCCUCUCCCGGCAACCAAACCCCGGCGCCUCAGGCGCCAAGGAAACGAAACAGAGCGAGGCACGCCCGCUGGCGGCCCGGGAACGGCGCCGAUCGCCCAGCGUGGCUCCUCACGCCAUUUGCAUCCGAAACGACUCUCGGCAACGGAUAUCUCGGCUCUCGCAUCGAUGAAGAACGUAGCGAAAUGCGAUACUUGGUGUGAAUUGCAGAAUCCCGUGAACCAUCGAGUCUUUGAACGCAAGUUGCGCCCGAAGCCACUAGGCCGAGGGCACGUCUGCCUGGGUGUCACACAACGUCGCCAACGCCCGGUCCUCCGGGCGCGGCGGAUGAUGGCCGCCCGGGGGCCUCGCCCCCCGGCCGGCCGAAAAAGGGGCCCGACGUGACGAACGCCACGAUCCACGGUGGUUGGGCGAACAUUCGCUCGAGGCCAUGACGUGCGCGCGUCGUCCCACGGCGAGGGCCCGUCGGCUAGGGCAAACAUGCGGCAGCAGAGAGCCCCCCACUCGUACGCGACCCCAGUCAGGCGGGGCUACCCGCUGAGUUUAAGCAUAUCAAUAAGCGGAGGAAAAGAAACUAACGAGGAUUCCCCUAGUAACGGCGAGCGAAC